CAGGAUGAACGCUGGGCGGCGUGCCUAAUACAUGCAAGUCGAACGAGAUGUAGCAAUACAUCUAGUGGCGAACGGGUGAGUAACACGUAUCAAUCUGCCCUAACGACUGGGAUACCCUCGGGAAACCUUGGCUAAUACCGGAUAGGAAAUCGAAUCGCAUGAUUUGAUUUUUAAAGGAUCUUUUGAUUCACGAUAGGAUGAGAAUGCGGCGCAUUAGUUAGUUGGUGAGAUAAAAGCCCACCAAGACGAGGAUGCGUAGCCGACCUGAGAGGGUGAUCGGCCACAAUGGAACUGAGACACGGUCCAUACUCCUACGGGAGGCAGCAGUAGGGAGUUUUCGGCAAUGGGGGCAACCCUGACCGAGCAACGCCGCGUGAGUGAUGAAGGACCCCCUAUGGGUCGUAAAAUUCUGUUAUAUGGGACGAACCAUAUCACUGAGAGAAACGGUGGUAUCUGACUGUACCAUAUGAGAAAGGAACGGCUAACUACGUGCCAGCCGCUGC
rnacentral:rRNA from 1 species